rnacentral:lncRNA from 1 species
ACGUAUUAUAGAAGAUUGUUAAUGAUAGAAAUAACGAUGUGAAUAUAAAGGUAGAGUUCCACAAUUGUAUUCCAGUUGGGUUGUAAAUAAAUAGUAAAAGUCCAUAUUAAAUAUAUGAACUGCAUUUUGGAUGCAUAUGUAUACUAAGUUAAUGGGCCUGAAUCCAUAAUUAUGAAUAGAAUGUGAGAUUUAAAUAAGUUAGGCUUACUACGGGCUUCGGGGGCCUUAAGCCCACCCAGGUCCUAGUGCCGGUCCGGUCCAUGGAAAUGGGUCGUGACAAAGUUGGUAUCAGAGCAUAAGUUGGGCCUUAGGAAUCAAUUGCGGAACAUAGGAAAUUAAAUAUAGGACUCCUAUGUUGGGAUCGGCCGUAACCAACAAAGGAGAUGUAGUCUGGAUUGAAUUCCAUUUUCGUGCCGGUGGAUGCAUCGCGCACGAGGAUGGGAGGAAAUCUAUAUGAAACUUAGGAUGAGAACUAAAGGU